rfam:Hyaloperonospora arabidopsidis Emoy2 Contig151.3, whole genome shotgun sequence.
AUUCUGGUGUUUUUCAACACCACCCUUUUUAAAAAGAGAAAAUGUGU